AUUGAACGCUGGCGGCAGGCUUAACACAUGCAAGUCGAGCGGGGGAAGGUAGCUUGCUACCGGACCUAGCGGCGGACGGGUGAGUAAUGCUUAGGAAUCUGCCUAUUAGUGGGGGACAACAUCUCGAAAGGGAUGCUAAUACCGCAUACGUCCUACGGGAGAAAGCAGGGGAUCUUCGGACCUUGCGCUAAUAGAUGAGCCUAAGUCGGAUUAGCUAGUUGGUGGGGUAAAGGCCUACCAAGGCGACGAUCUGUAGCGGGUCUGAGAGGAUGAUCCGCCACACUGGGACUGAGACACGGCCCAGACUCCUACGGGAGGCAGCAGUGGGGAAUAUUGGACAAUGGGGGGAACCCUGAUCCAGCCAUGCCGCGUGUGUGAAGAAGGCCUUAUGGUUGUAAAGCACUUUAAGCGAGGAGGAGGCUACUCUAGUUAAUACCUAGGGAUAGUGGACGUUACUCGCAGAAUGAGCACCGGCUAACUCUGUGCCAGCAGCCGCUGUAA
rnacentral:rRNA from 1 species